AUUGAACGCUGGCGGCAGGCCUAACACAUGCAAGUCGAGCGGAUGAAGGGAGCUUGCUCCUGGAUUCAGCGGCGGACGGGUGAGUAAUGCCUAGGAAUCUGCCUGGUAGUGGGGGAUAACGUCCGGAAACGGGCGCUAAUACCGCAUACGUCCUGAGGGAGAAAGUGGGGGAUCUUCGGACCUCACGCUAUCAGAUGAGCCUAGGUCGGAUUAGCUAGUUGGUGGGGUAAAGGCCUACCAAGGCGACGAUCCGUAACUGGUCUGAGAGGAUGAUCAAUCACACUGGAACUGAGACACGGUCCAGACUCCUACGGGAGGCAGCAGUGGGGAAUAUUGGACAAUGGGCGAAAGCCUGAUCCAGCCAUGCCGCGUGUGUGAAGAAGGUCUUCGGAUUGUAAAGCACUUUAAGUUGGGAGGAAGGGCAGUAAGUUAAUACCUUGCUGUUUUGACGUUAUCAACAGAAUAAGCACCGGCUAACUUCGUG
rnacentral:rRNA from 1 species